rnacentral:misc_RNA from 1 species
GCCUUCAGGGAAUAGAGCACAAGGAUUUAUCUGAGUCAUUAUUUCAAGAAGGCACGACAUUGCUCACAUUGCUUCCAGUGUAAAUCAGCUACAUGAGCAGUGGUGAACGUUUCUAAGUUAACGGGUACCAUUGUUCUUUUUUGCUGAGCGGCGCUUCUUUUAGAAGUCGCCGUUUUUUUU